AUGAGACGACCACGCUCCGCCAUGCUCGAUUCUCCGACGCCGUUGGCUCUGGUGAGGGCGAACUUUUGUGCCGAAGCAGGUCCAGAGCUGCUCCCCUCGUCCAUUGAACCUUGGCUCUUAAACUGCUCGUGGCUGAACACCAGUGGUCGGACUGGCUCACGUAAAGACAUCCAAACUCCACAGGAGUCCUCCACCCCACCUAUUCUGGGCUCCCCACGCCAAAAGAAAGGAGUAAUACUCAGCCCACGCAUUACUUGCUGUAAAACAUUAGGAUAUUACCUUAUAGGUUGCUCCUUUAAUCAUCAUAUUCUUUUCAAUUGGCCACUUUUUUUCUCCUUCUUUUCAUCCCUUGAAUUAUGCAGGUAACUUAUUUUAUAUUCAAAAAUAACUAUCCGAGGGUCAAUUGUGUUCACACUUUUGCCACAGACAGAAUAUAGCGAUAAUUGUUCCAUUAAGAUAUCAUUCAUUUUUUUUACGAAGAGGUUGUUUGAUAGACAAUUUAACAAAACCAUGUGUGAUCUUCUCACUGACACGAUUCGAUAUUGAUUAAUUUGUUAAAACACGUCUUUCUCAGACCUUCAACAUUAGAAGGGUAAAUCAAUUUUUACUCCUUAUCCACCUAUUAUUUUUAUUUUGUAAUUGUUGAAACUCUAUUCUACAUACACAGGUCCACAUUCGGUAAUAAGAGUUGAAUGGGGGGGCUGCUCAGUGAUCCUCAUUUGAAUCAAUUAUCGGAGAGAAACAUUCAUAGACACCGGAUUACUCAUCUGUUCCCGGUGAUAUACAAUAACUUCGUUGAAUUCAGUAAAAUGGUGAUUGUUGCGUGAUUAUACAGUGUUCCGGUGAAGCGGGAAGAAAAAUAAUAACAGAUGACAACAGAUGACAACAAAAGAUAAGAUGAAAACAUGGACGAAUAAAAACAGCCCGAUUUUCUUUUUUACUCUCAAAUGAUGUUAUUGGGGAUGUGAUGUCAGCCAACAUCUUAUGUGGCUACCAUCAUUUAUCAUUAUCGAUUUUACCAUAUAUUUUAUAUUAAAACGAUGCAAGAAAAAUAAUCACAGGCGGUCAUUUUCUUUUCGGAAAUCAUCAGUGAGUCUAAAACCGUAUUUAUGUGGACUCAUUUCAAAUGGUGGUGGUGGAGGCCAUGCAGCAGCAGUCAUAUAGGAACAGGGCAGAACAGUGGAAACUGGUGUAAUGAGACAAAGAACCAGUCAAGCAAUUUUUUCAAUACGUCCAGCUGUUAUUGUGCACUGCACCGUGCACUAAUGAGAACGUAUUAUUAUUAUAAUAAUAUUGUUAUUAUUAUUAUCAUUCGACUGUUGUUGUUGUUGUUGUUGUUACAGUCCUUACAUUACUGUACAUCUUAAUCUUAAUCCUUAUAGGAUCUGGAGUGUAGAUGUAAAUGGUGAGGGAGGAAGAGUUUUAUUUUUAACUGUAUCUGCACUGUGCCUCGCGUAAUAAUAAAAACAACAAUAUUAAUAAUAAUAAAAUUGAUAAUAAUAAAAAAGUUUUUUUUUAAGGCAGUUAGAGAAGCGCAGAGGCUAAUCUGGGUAAUUGUGGUGCAUCUGCAUGAAGACUGAAGGUGAGGAGGAGGAGGAGGAGAAAGGUUACGAGCCUUGUCAACUUCACGACUAAAUGGUGACAUCUAGUGGCGAUUUAGGGGAACGUCGAUGAAAAGGGGGGGGGCGUACAUCCUCCACCACGGUCAGUGAGGUUCACGUGCCACCUGCACGCGCCCUUCAUUUCACCACAUCCACCUUCAGUCAUUCACUCUCAUUUCUAAAUAUAUAUUCUUUUAGAAAAUAUGUACACAAGACAAUCUUUAAAUAUACAGUCUAUUAAAAUCUAUAAAAAAAAACAUUUGUUGAGAACCUUCGUUGCCACAGCCCAGUUUGAUAAGAUGUCUGACUCGACUGACUGGUCUACAGAUGUUACAGAUGUGCAGGGUGACUGUGACACUAAACUGAUUCAAAUGGUCCUAUACUUCCAUCAACCCUUCGCCUAUUGUUUUUUUGGGGGGGAUAUUGACCUAUAGAUCUAGAUAUUGUUUCUUAUUUGGAAGUUAUUCCCUGACUUUUUCUUUCAUAAACUCACAUAUUUUUUUUGACCUCACACUUUUUGACCCAUUGCCUUUUGGGACACUGACACUGGUCGGACUCGAGCCAACUCGACCCUCGACGUGUUUUUUUUUCCUUCUUUCUUUUGAGAAUGUGUGAGAACAUGCUUUCACAAUGGAUACUUCCUGACAUAUAAUAAAUCGCACUGUGUCUGCGGUGUCUUCAUAACCGCUGGACUGAACCCCCUUCAGACUCGAUCGGACCUGGUCUACGUCAUCCAGCAAUCUCAGAAAAGGCUCGACUAUUUAAGGGUCAGGAUGUAAAUUCAUUUAUUUCGUGCGCACCUGCUCCAGGGUGUAUGGAGCUGUUGUUUUCCUUUUUCUUUCUGCGGUUACAAUAUUAAGCUACUUGUGAGAUUCAAUUAAACACUGUUUAAAAAAACAUGCCGCUUUAUAACACCGCCCCAUUAUCACAUAUGGUUUGGUUUAAUUUCCGUUUCUGACAAAUCCAUUGCACUGAUACGAUAGAAACAAUCUAUGCCUAAUACACCUUUAUGAUGGGAAAUCGAAAGCUCUAAAUAUCACGACUAAUUCAAAGGAAUGUAUUCGAUUACAUUUAAAACGAUGGGUUUGAAUCAAUUUCAUCCACAGGUAGACAUUAAGUCACACUUAAAGAUAGUAAAAGGAAUCAUUCAAUCUAAUUGAUGGGAGUAAAUUCAAUAAUAAUCAUACUAAUAAUAAUAAUAAUAAUAGUAAUAAUAAGUCACAUGGCUCCCAGAGUUUCUAAAUACAAUAAUAAUAUCUAAGUAGCAUUUGAACGUUCACUUGAAGCUCGGAGUGUUUCCUCAAGUCAGCACAAAUGUAGCUUUGAUUCGAAUAGCACAUAUUAAUGACGUGAACAAAGUGAAUAUUUCAACACGCGGGCUGUCACGUAUCUCGAACUCUAACGAAAAAAACCUCAGCAAAUCAAAAAAAAAAAAAAGAAAAGGAAGAAUGU
rnacentral:lncRNA from 1 species